GUGCCUUCUUGACAAACCUGAAAUGACAACAAUAUCUCUGCUACUCUCACCGUGAUCUGGCAUCAAGCAUAUCAGAAGUAUCAAAAAACUUCACACACACACACAUUCACGGAACUUGAACAGAAGCUACAACAAUGAGUGCUUUGAGGACAUCGACACAGCCCUGAAGCAUGGCUACCCCAAUCAACUGCAACACAAACUACAGGACAGAUGCAUAAAGUGCCUCAACCACCUCCAAAACCAGGGAGAGGCGCUAAACACCCCCAGACAGGGAUAAGGGGACCAGGCAGAGGGUGUGUGUAGCAGGCCCAGGGGCACAAAGUCCCCAAACUCCCAGCAGCAACAGAAUGGGAGUGCUCCUGUGUCAUGUGACUUUACUGUGGUGCAGUCCAGCCAGGCCGUGUGCAUUGCCAUGGCGAUAUUUCCCACGCUGAGUGUUCUGAACCAGUCCUGCAGCCUCAACACAAGCCUCACUUUCAGAACUACUCACACACACACUACUUGGACUCACCUCAACCAGACCUAUGCUCUACUGAUGAACUGGUUUCUACUGUCAAUCAAUCACAUCAGCCGAUGUCACAAAGUGCUAUACAGAAACCCAGUCUAAAACCCCAAACAGCAAGCAAUGCAGAUGUAGAAGCAGAGAGAGUCCUGUUUCCUGUUCUACUUCUCACUCUGUGUCAGAUGGAGUAUCUGUCUCUAUCAGAACAUCCAGAGACAUAUCUCGUGGACAGGUGAUCCUCUACUGCUAUGGUGAGGAAGAGACACGUCUGUCAACCUCUGGUUCUGUCCUUCUGUCUGUCAGUCUGUCCAUAUGUACACUACCGUUCAAAAGUUUGGGGUCACAUAGAAAUGUCCUUGUUGAAAGAGAAGCACAUUUUUUGUCCAUUAAAAUCACAUAAAAUUGAUCAGAAAUACAGUGUAGACAUUGUUAAUGUUGUAAAUGACUAUUGUACCUGGAAAUGGCAAAAUUUUGUGGAUUAUCUACAAAGGCACACAGAGGCCCAUUAUCAGCAACCAUCACUCCUGUGUUCCAAGUUUAUCAUUUUAAAAGGCUAAUUGAUCAUCAGAAAACCCUUUUGCAAUUAUGUUAGCACAGCUGUUGUUCUGAUUAAAGAAGCAAUACAACUGGCCUUCUUUAGACUAGUUGAGUAUCUGGAGAAUCAGCAUUUGUGGGUUCGAUUACAGGCUCAAAAGACCUUUCUUCUGAAGCUCGUCAGUCUAUUCUUUUUCUGAGAAACUGUAAUACUAUAACUAUAACUAUAAUAACACAGUACAUCAUACAACAUUAUUACACCACUACAUAUCUACAGUACAAAAUGUAUAAAACCACCAUACAACAAUAUUACAAUGUACGUGUGUAGUGUGUGUGCUGGAGUGUGUGUGUGUGUCUGUGUGUCUCUUCACAGUCUGUGCUGUUCCAUAAGGUGUAGUAUGUUUAUUUCAUUUGUAUUAAAGUUACUUGAUGUGGAAAUGAGAUCCAUGUAGUCAUGGCUCUAAGUAGUACUGUGCGCCUCCCAUAGUCUAUUCUGGACUUGGGGAAUGUGAAGAGACCUCUGGUGGCAUGUCUUGUGGGGUAUGCAUGGGUGUCCUAGCUGUGCACCAGUAGUUCAAACAGACAGCUCGGUGCUUUCAACAUGUCAAUACCUCUCACAAAGACAAGUAGUGAUGAAGUCAAUCUCUCCUCUGCUUUAAACCAGGACAGAUUGACAUGCAUGUCAAUGAUAGCUCUGUGUGUACAUGUAAGUGCCAGA
rnacentral:lncRNA from 1 species